GAGAAGCGCCGACCUCGCGGGAGGCGUGCAUUUAUCAGACCAAAAACCGGCCGCGUCUUCGGGCGCGUUCGCCUUGGUGACUCUGGAUAACUUUGCGGAUCGCACGGUCUAGCACCGGCGACGGAUCAUUCAAGUGUCUGCCCUAUCAACUUUCGUCGGUACGGUAUUUGCCUACCGAGGUUCUUACGGGUGACGGGGAAUCAGGGUUCGAUUCCGGAGAGGGAGCCUGAGAAACGGCUACCACAUCCAAGGAAGGCAGCAGGCGCGCAAAUUACCCAUUCCCGACGCGGGGAGGUAGUGACGAAAAAUAACAAUGCAGGACUCGUUCGAGGCCCUGUAAUUGGAAUGAGUACACUUUAAAAGCUUUAACGAGUAUCCAUUGGAGGGCAAGUCUGGUGCCAGCAGCCGCGGUAAUUCCAGCUCCAAAAGUAUAUAUUUAAGUUGUUGCGGUUAAAAAGCUCGUAGUUGGAUUUUGGGCGCAGGCGGCCGGUCCGUCGCAAGGCGUGUACUGGACGUCCUGGCCUUCCCUCCGGUUCUCCGCCGGUGCUCUUGACUGAGUGUCGGCGGCGGCCGGAACGUUUACUUUGAAAAAAUUAGAGUGUUCAAAGCAGGCUCUCGAGCCUGGAUAAUGGUGCAUGGAAUAAUGGAAUAGGACCUCGGAUCUAUUUUGUUGGUUUUCGGAGCGCGAGGUAAUGAUUA
rnacentral:ncRNA from 1 species